GACGAACGCUGGCGGCGUGCCUAAUACAUGCAAGUUGAGCGAUGAAGAUUGGUGCUUGCACCAAUUUGAAGAGCAGCGAACGGGUGAGUAACGCGUGGGGAAUCUGCCUUUGAGCGGGGGACAACAUUUGGAAACGAAUGCUAAUACCGCAUAACAACUUUAAACAUAAGUUUUAAGUUUGAAAGAUGCAAUUGCAUCACUCAAAGAUGAUCCCGCGUUGUAUUAGCUAGUUGGUGAGGUAAAGGCUCACCAAGGCGAUGAUACAUAGCCGACCUGAGAGGGUGAGCGGCCGGAUUGGGACUGAGACACGGCCCAAACUCCUACAGGAGGCAGCAGUAGGGAAUCUUCGGCAAUGGGCGAAAGUCUGACCGAGCAACGCCGCGUGAGUGAAGAAGGUUGUCGGAUCGGAAAACUCGGUUGGUAGAGAAGAACGUUGGUGAGAGUGGAAAGCUCAUCAAGUGACGGUAACUACCCAGAAAGGGACGGCUAACUACGUG
rnacentral:rRNA from 1 species